rnacentral:rRNA from 1 species
UGGGGAAUUUUGCACAAUGGGGGAAACCCUGAUGCAGCGACGCCGCGUGAUUUAGAAGGCCUUCGGGUUGUAAAAAUCUUUUCUAUGGGAAGAAAAUGACAGUACCAUAGGAAUAAGGACCGGCUAAUUACGUGCCAGCAGCCGCGGUAAUACGUAAGGUCCGAGCGUUGUCCGGAAUCAUUGGGCGUAAAGGGUACGUAGGCGGGUAAGCAAGUUAGAAGUGAAAUCCUAGAGCUCAACUAUAGUAAGCUUUUAAAACUGCCCAGCUGGAGGUAUGGAAGGGAAAGUGGAAUUCCUAGUGUAGCGGUGAAAUGCGCAGAUAUUAGGAGGAAUACCGGUGGCGAAGGCGACUUUCUGGCCAUAACCUGACGCUGAGGUACGAAAGCGUGGGUAGCAAACAGG